rnacentral:rRNA from 1 species
GACGAACGCUGGCGGCGUGCUUAACACAUGCAAGUCGAACGGAAAGGCCCUGCUUUUGUGGGGUGCUCGAGUGGCGAACGGGUGAGUAACACGUGAGUAACCUGCCCUUGACUUUGGGAUAACUUCAGGAAACUGGGGCUAAUACCGGAUAGGAGCUCCUGCUGCAUGGUGGGGGUUGGAAAGUUUCGGCGGUUGGGGAUGGACUCGCGGCUUAUCAGCUUGUUGGUGGGGUAGUGGCUUACCAAGGCUUUGACGGGUAGCCGGCCUGAGAGGGUGACCGGCCACAUUGGGACUGCGAUACGGCCCAGACUCCUACGGGAGGCAGCAGUGGGGAAUAUUGCACAAUGGGCGGACGCCUGAUGCGGCAACGCCGCGUGCGGGAUGACGGCCUUCGGGUUGUAAACCGCUUUCGCCUGUGACGAAGCGUGAGUGACGGUAAUGGGUAAAGAAGCACCGGCUAACUACGUG